rnacentral:rRNA from 1 species
CAAUAGCGUAUAUUUAAGUUGCUGCAGUUAAAAAGCUCGUAGUUGGAUUUCGGGUGGGAAUGGCCGGUCCGCCGUUUCGGUGUGCACUUGCUACGCCCACCUUGCUGCCGGGGACGUGCUCUUGAGUUUCGGCUCGGGACACGGAGUCGGCGAGGUUACUUUGAGUAAAUUAGAGUGUUCAAAGCAGGCCUCGGCCUCUGAAUACAUUAGCAUGGAAUAAUAAGAUAGGACUUUGGUGGUCUAUUUUGUUGGUUUGCACGCCAAAGUAAUGAUUAAUAGGGAUAGUUGGGGGUAUUCGUAUUCUAUUGCUAGAGGUGAAAUUCUUAAAUUUAUGGAAGACGAACUACUGCGAAAGCAUUUACCAAGGAUGUUUUCAUUAA